GUCUCGAUCUGGCUGCGCAUUUCCAGCGAACCGCCGAGUUUGAUGUCGGUGCCGCGGCCGGCCAUGUUGGUUGCGAUGGUGAUCGCGCCCGGCACGCCGGCUUCAGCCACGAUGUAGGCUUCCUGUUCAUGGAAGCGCGCGUUCAGAACCGCGAACAGCUUGGCCGGCUUCCCCGCGCGCGCGGCCGCAUAGAGCUUCUCCAGCGCCUUCGGA
rnacentral:misc_RNA from 1 species